UGCAGUCGAGCGAGACCUUCGGGUCUAGCGGCGGACGGGUUAGUAACGCGUGGGAAUAUACCCUUCACUACGGAAUAGCCUCGGGAAACUGGGAGUAAUACCGUAUACGCCCUUUUGGGGAAAGAUUUAUCGGUGAAGGAUUAGCCCGCGUCUGAUUAGAUAGUUGGUGGGGUAAUGGCCUACCAAGUCUACGAUCAGUAGCUGGUUUGAGAGGAUGAUCAGCAACACUGGGACUGAGACACGGCCCAGACUCCUACGGGAGGCAGCAGUGGGGAAUCUUAGACAAUGGGCGCAAGCCUGAUCUAGCCAUGCCGCGUGAGUGACGAAGGCCUUAGGGUCGUAAAGCUCUUUCGCCAGAGAUGAUAAUGACAGUAUCUGGUAAAGAAACCCCGGCUAACUCCGUGCCAGCAGCCGCGGUAAUACGGAGGGGGUUAGCGUUGUUCGGAAUUACUGGGCGUAAAGCGCACGUAGGCGGAUUGGAAAGUAUGGGGUGAAAUCCCAGGGCUCAACCCUGGAACUGCCUUGUAAACUCCCAGUCUAGAGUUCGAGAGAGGUGAGUGGAAUUCCAAGUGUAGAGGUGAAAUUCGUAGAUAUUUGGAGGAACACCAGUGGCGAAGGCGGCUCACUGGCUCGAUACUGACGCUGAGGUGCGAAAGUGUGGGGAGCAAACAGG
rnacentral:rRNA from 1 species